rnacentral:rRNA from 1 species
GCCUAAAGCGUCCGUAGCCGGCUCUGUAAGUUUUCGGUUAAAUCCAUAUGCUCAACAUAUGGGCCGCCGGGAAUACUACAAAGCUAGGGAGUGGGAGAGGUAGACGGUACUCCGUAGGAAGGGGUAAAAUCCUUUGAUCUAUGGAUGACCACCAGUGGCGAAGGCGGUCUACCAGAACACGUUCGACGGUGAGGGAUGAAAGCUGGGGGAGCAAACCGGAUUAGAUACCCGGGUAGUCCCAGCUGUAAACUAUGCAAACUCAGUGAUGCAUUGGCUUGUGGCCAGUGCAGUGCCGCAGAGAAGUCGUUAAGUUUGCCGCCUGGGAAGUACGUACGCAAGUAUGAAACUUAAAGGAAUUGGCGGGGGAGCACCACAAGGGGUGAAGCCUGCGGUUCAAUUGGAGUCAACGCCAGAAAUCUUACCCGGAGAGACAGCAGAAUGAAGGUCAAGUUGAAGCCUUUACCAGACAAGCUGAGAAGUGGUGCAUGGCCGUCGCCAGCUCGUGCCGUGAGGUGUCCUGUUAAGUCAGGUAACGAGCGAGAUCCUUGCCUCUAGUUGCCACCAUUACUCUCAGGAGUAGUGGGGCGAAUUAGCGGGACUGCCGUAGUUAAUACGGAGGAAGGAGAGGGCCACGGCAGGUCAGUAUGCCCCGAA